rnacentral:rRNA from 1 species
CCUACGGGUGGCUGCAGUGGGGAAUUUUGGACAAUGGGCGCAAGCCUGAACCAGCUAUGCCGCGUGCGGGAAGACGGCCUUCGGGUUGUAAACCACUUUUGUAGAGAACGAAAAGCCCAUUGAUAAUAUCGAUAGAAGAUGACGGUACUAUAAGAAUAAGCCUCGGCUAACUCCGUGCCAGCAGCCGCGAUAAUAGGUAGGGUGCGAGCGUUAAUCGGAAUUACUGGGCGGAAAGGGUGUGCAGGUGGUUUUGCAAGAUGGAUGUGAAAGCCCCGGGCUUAACCUGGGCAAGCCAUACAUGACUGCAAGACUAGAGUGCAUCAGAGGGGGGUGGAAU